rnacentral:rRNA from 1 species
UCGUAGUCGGAUUUCGGGGCGGGCCUGCCGGUCUGCCGAUCGGUACGCACUGGCGGGCGCGUCCUUCCUUCCGGAGACCGCGCCUCCUCUUAACUGAGCGGGCGUGGGAGACGGAUCGUUUACUUUGAAAAAAUCAGAGUGUUUCAAGCAGGCAGCUCGCUCUUGCAUGGAUUAGCAUGGGAUAAUGAAAUAGGACUCUGGUGCUAUUUUGUUGGUUUCGAACACCGGAGUAAUGGUCAACAGGGACAGUCAGGGGCACUCGUAUUCCGCCGAGAGAGGUGAAAUUCUCAGACCAGCGGAAGACGAACCACUGCGAAAGCAUUUGCCAGGGAUGUUUUCACUGAUCAAGAACGAAAGUUAGGGGAUCGAAGACGAUCAGAUACCGUCGUAGUCUUAACCAUAAACCAUGCCGACUAGGGAUUGGAGGCUGUUCCUUUAGUGACUCCUUCAGCACCUUUCGGGAAACUAAAGUCUUUGGGUUCCGGGGGGAGUAUGGUCGCAAGGCUGAAACUUAAAGGAAUUGACGGAAGGGCACCACCAGGAGUGGAGCCUGCGGCUUAAUUUGACUCAACACGGGGAAACUUACCAGGUCCAGACAUUGUGAGGAUUGACAGAUUGAGAGCUCUUUCUUGAUUCGAUGGGUGGUGGUGCAUGGCCGUUCUUAGUUGGUGGAGUGAUUUGUCUGGUUAAUUCCGUUAACGAACGAGACCGCAGCCUGCUAAAUAGUUCCGCGAACACUCCGUUGGCGGCCGACUUCUUAGAGGGACAACUUGUCUUCAACAAGUGGAAGUUUGCGGCAAUAACAGGU